rnacentral:lncRNA from 1 species
GAGGAAGUCUAUAAUUACAGAAAUUGUGUGGAUCUAGAUUGGUUGGAGUGAAGUCUAUUUUUUUGGUGUUGAAUGGGAAUUAUUGUGUUUUGAGCAGUCUUUUGAGAGUGCACGGUUGUACUUUGUAGUUACCAAUUGAUGAAGGAAUAUUGUUCCUGGAAGGAAGCAUUGUAGUAUUUCUUGAUGUUUUAGUGGUUCAGAUUACAGUGAUUUGAGUGAUCCUAAUUUGUAAGCUCAUGCACUUAGUCUUUUCCUGAGUUCAAAUUUUCCUGUACAAGUUUAUUCUAUAAAGAAUUUGUAAAAUAAGUAAAACGAUAAUUACUUUUUGGCGCCGCUACCGGGGAUUGACAAUAGCAUUGAGGGUUACGAAUUAACUCUUGAAUGAGUAGAUGAGAAAUAAGAAUCAAAUUCAGCAGUAUAUAAUGAAAGAUUAUGGUUAUUAAGAAUG